rnacentral:rRNA from 1 species
CCUACGGGAGGCAGCAGUGGGGGAUAUUGCACAAUGGGGGGAACCCUGAUGCAGCGACGCCGCGUGGGCGAUGGAGUGCUUCGGCAUGUAAAGCCCUAUCAGCAGGGAAGAAAAUGACGGUACCUGACUAAGAAGCCCCGGCUAAAUACGUGCCAGCAGCCGCGGUAAUACGUAUGGGGCAAGCGUUAUCCGGAUUUACUGGGUGUAAAGGGAGCGUAGGCGGCCUGGCAAGCCUGAUGUGAAAUACCGGGGCCCAACCCCGGGACUGCUCUUGGAACUGCGUGGCUGGAGUGCAGGAGGGGCAGGCGGAAUUCCUGGUGUAGCGGUGAAAUGCGUAGAUAUCAGGAGGAACACCGGUGGCGAAGGCGGCCUGCUGGACUGCAACUGACGUUGAGGCCCGAAAGCGUGGGGAGCAAACAGGAUUAGAUACCCGAGUAGUC